UUGAUGAUGACGCUUUCGAGGAGAUUGAUAGGCUUUGACGCGAUGGAGGUUCUGCAGCAGACAUGCCAACGUAUCUCCGGAAGCUCAAUGUGUCCCGAAGGGAUGCAGCGCUACUUCUGAUUGUUGCGGGGCCGCGAAGUGGAAAGACCUCUACAAUGGUCGCACGUAUUCUGACACUGUUAAACGAGGGGGUAGACUCCAAGAACAAUGACCUUCACAACAGCUGCUGCAACGGAGAUGAUGGACCGCGUCGCUGCUGUGGUGGGGG